UGGCGGGCGCCGCGUUCGUGUCUUAUUUCGGCGUUUCUGCGGUGUCGUGGGUGUGUGCCGAGCGAAGUUUCGAAGAAAGCAUGUUCGAGCUGACCGGCCACAGGAGACCGGACUUUGUGAUCGGCAUGGCCUACCGUGUAUCGUGGCCUCUGCGGCGUCGGGAUUCUGGCUGAAUAAAAGUUCAGCAAUACUGCCAGUAGGCUGGGAACUUCUACAAAUGCAGCACUUGCAUAUUUCAGUGCCUCAGGAUUUCUGCGGUGCAAUGCCCGUGAGACACCAAGAGCUUCUUGUGAAAUCUGAGUAGCAGCAGGUGUACGUAAUGGAGGUGCAACUUGUGCCAGUGUGCUUGUUCAAUGGUUAAUAUGGCAGAUAGCAAGAGUCUGGCCUAUUUGCUGACCGCAAGUUGGGGUGAGUAGUUUGUGACAGUGCCCAUUCACCUUAUACUCACUGUGAUGAUCACCCUCCAAUACCUAUGUUUAUGAGGACUUCACCAAGAUCUCUGAGUGUGACUUAAACUUGCUGGAUUGGCAUGCGUUUGGUAUUUUUCUAUCAGUUUUAUUUUUUUCAUUCCAGAUUGAUGUGCAGGAUAUAGAAUCUCUGCACCUUCCUAUGGUAAGUUAAUGGCACAGAUGUCUGCAUGGAUUCAGUGUUUAAUUUGAAGCAGUGCAAAGAAUGGGGUAAAAGAAGCUAGACAUUCUCAUUUUUAUGUGCCUCCUUUUGUGCACUGUUUCAUAAAUUAAAGGGACACUAAGUAUAUGUCAUCAUGUUUGAAAUAGCUGCAUUAUUACUGAACAGGUUAAAUUUCUCAUUUGUGAAUGUUGUGCUGGAAUGUUAACUACGUAAGCCCAGGCGGAGUGUUUACUACUAGCUGUACUGUCGCUCAUAAUUUGACUUUGCAGAAACACAAGUUGGCAUUGUUGCUGCUCUAGUUUUGUCUGCCAGCUUGCCAAGCUCCUUGCAAUGAUUGAAUUGGUUGUUAUUAGUCACAUUUAGUGUCCCUUUAAGAUGUUUGUAGAAACUUGCCUCAGACAUGGCUUUCACAUGAUGUUGCUUGAGUAUUUGCUACCCUGAGAGAGCAAUGCGGAGAAAUACAUUUUCUGAUGCGACUUUCAGUAGCCAGCCUUUUUCCUUUUUGGUUGGCAUGCCUUUGACAAUAUUGCCUUCAAUAUAUUUACAGGUGCUUCCUGUGGAUCCUGCAGUUUUGAAAGGUAUGUUUGUCUUCAGUAUGUGUGUAGAUGUAAAUAUAAAUGAUGAUUCUCAACUGAUAGGGACAGCUGAAACCUGUGAUUGCAUUGACAGUUCCUGAUCAUUCAUAGUAUUUAGAAACAAUUUGUUUUCUAGAUACGGCGUUAAUUGUGCUUUUUUUUUUUGCGCAGGUAAGGUGUGUGGUUCCAGUUGUUGCCAUCAUCCUUCUCUGUGGAUUUUUUGAAUAAAAAGCUGCAGACAACUGAA